rnacentral:rRNA from 1 species
AACGAACGCUGGCGGCAGGCUUAACACAUGCAAGUCGAACGCCCCGCAAGGGGAGUGGCAGACGGGUGAGUAACGCGUGGGAACAUACCCUUUCCUGCGGAAUAGCUCUGGGAAACUGGAAUUAAUACCGCAUAAGCCCUACGGGGGAAAGAUUUAUCGGGGAAGGAUUGGCCCGCGUUGGAUUAGCUAGUUGGUGGGGUAAAGGCCUACCAAGGCGACGAUCCAUAGCUGGUCUGAGAGGAUGAUCAGCCACAUUGGGACUGAGACACGGCCCAAACUCCUACGGGAGGCAGCAGUGGGGAAUAUUGGACAAUGGGCGCAAGCCUGAUCCAGCCAUGCCGCGUGAGUGAUGAAGGCCUUAGGGUUGUAAAGCUCUUUCACCGAUGAAGAUAAUGACGGUAGUCGGAGAAGAAGCCCCGGCUAACUCUGUGCCAGCCGCCGCCGUAAAAC